rnacentral:lncRNA from 1 species
CAGAAUAUCCUUGCUGUGCCAAGAAAGAAAAGACCAUGGAUCUACUAGUUGCAGAUUUCAGCAGUAAUGCCAAGGGGGCAAGAAGUGACCAGCAGAACAAUUAGGCCGUGGCAGCAGAAGCCAACUACAACCCAUGUUCCAAUCUAUGACCUCCCUCUCCUGCUGGUACAAGGAUAUGAUCUGGAGUCUGGGAAGUUCAAGAGCAUGGCACCAACAUCUGGCAAGGGCUUUCAUGCUGCAUCAUCUCAUGGAGGAAAAUAAAAGGGAGGCUGGAUGCUCCUGUGAAGUACGUCUUCUAUCUACUUGCUAUCUUUGCAAUUCCUUCAUGCUACAAUGAGAGAUAGAGUUUAAACCUGAAAACAUUCUUGGAAAAGGAACCUUCAUUAAUUCAAAUAUACCACAAGGUUCUGCCACUGUGGCCAUCACCUGGGAUUGGAGAAAGGCAAAUGGAACAGACCAACUCAGAAUUACAGUCCUCGUUUAUUUCAUCAGAGGUUGGCCUGUACUUACAUUAGCCCUUUCUGGCUAGAGCUUCAUGUCUCACCCAUUGUCUGUUCACUUCUGACCUGAAACAAUGGGA